UGGCUCAGUGGUUAAGAGCACUGGCACUUCUUCCAGAGAACCUGGGUUCAAUUCCCAG
rnacentral:tRNA from 1 species